GUCACUUGGUUGUGCUAUUCCCAGUUUGGAACAGGAAGAACACAGACAGACUAGGGCAUCGGCGGUCAGCCGGCGGACCUCGCCGUGGGCGCUGCGGCGGAAAAAGUUCGCCACAGUACGGAUGUACUGUCCCCCGACUUCCAGCGGACAACUAGCCCCACCCCUGUCCGCCCUUCUCCAAGUCGGCGCAACCCCCUCCACAGCCACACACAGCGCCCAGCUCCACCAUCCGCCGACGCCGGAGAAGAGAACCCCCAGUCUUCAGGGAAGGAUGGAGUCAAUGAAAAGCAUGCAUUGCUCCAAGUGUCAGGUCAACUACAGCGAUAUGACUUGAAGAUGGAUUAAAAGGUCGUGGAAUGCCAAUGGAUGGUUGUUGAUUGAUCCUUUUCUAAUCUGACAUGGAUUUUCAACUUUUCAUACACCUGACACUGUUGUCUUCUCAUUUGUGGUGCAGAUUUCACUAGUUAAAAUCUUGGCUAGACUCUUCAUUUACUCUUGAACGUUUGUUUUUCAAAAUGUGCACUUCCUGUGGAACAUAUGUUUCUUUUUUAUACCACCUUGGAAACUCCAUGACACUAUCUGUACAAUAUUUAUAUGUGAUGGGCGAAGGUGAAAGCAAUUAGGAGCUCCUGUGUUUCGUUCUGGAAUUCAAGUUUUUUUUUUGUGUGUGUGGAUAUCAGUUUAAGUUUUUUGAAUGUAAUGCUUUCCUAGCAGCCAGUGAGAAUUUUUUGUUUGAUGUUGCACACGCUCCUGGUCAUAUUCGAGUUGAGCUUUGGUACAUUAAGUUUCUUUAUAUAACAUUUGUAUCUGUCUAUACUAGAUACUAGAACAGAUCUUUUCAUUUGUUUGCAGACAAAGUGAACGCACAUGCUGGACAGAAAUUACACAUUUAGUUACAAUUGAUACUCAAUGGCGCAUUUUCAGAAAAUGCUUGGAAGCGAAACCUGUCCCGGAGAUUGUACAUUAAGACGUCUUGACAUGUUGACAGUCCAGGCACACCUGAGCCGCCAGAACCUCCAAGCGAUAGUACAGUCGUGUUCUUUCUGUUCCAAACGGCACAUCUUGUAAUCGAAACGUUACAGGUAUUCUGUACUUGUAUGGGGGCUUCUCUGCAAAAUUCGAAGGGUGGGAAGUUUGGGUUCCAUCUUGUCCCUAUAUUCUGUAUCUAACGGCUCUGGUUUGUACGGUGCAGUCGGAGCACUCAUUCCACUGGAGCACAGGAUACUUUCCCACUGAGAUGGAGCAAAAGCUCAAGGAGACUGCCGCCAAGUGCGAGUCUCUGGAAACGGAAAAUAAAGCGUAGGUGACCGAACUCACCAAGGCCCUUCAAGAUGCUUCGGAGGCACGGUCUGAAUCCCAUGCAGCGCGCGAGGAAAUCCGUCAAGCUGGUCAGAUAGCAACUGACGCAUAUGCGGAUCUGUCGACGAGUGCUACGGACGCCGCCCAAUUCUUCCAGGUCCAGGAGGGGUACAAGUCAGAGAAGCUUUUCUGGUCGCAGUUUGUGGAGCAGGAGUGUCCCCUACUGCUAAAUGACCAGAUGUCACAAUGGGCGGAGCUACAUAAGAUGUCUAGCGUGGCCAUGAAGGACGUCAUAGUCCGGCUGUGGCCUGCUGAAGCCGUUCCGGGCAGCUACUUCGGCCUCGUGCGGCGUCUCAUUGAUGCGCUGCACCGGAUUGACGCUGUCAAGAGGUAGUCCUGCAUGGAAGGAGCGCGUAUGGCUUUCGCCCGUGUAAAGAUGCACUGGGUGAAAAUGAAUGCCGAAAAGGUGGGGGUCGAGGGUCCUCUCGAAAGCAAGGCCCACCGCACACCAGAGCGCUAUUUUGAGGACAUGCUAAAAGGAGCUUGCCUUAUAGAGGGCCAAUGCUCUAAGGACGUAGUGUUCGAAUAAAAGAGUCUGAAU